rnacentral:miRNA from 1 species
UAGGGUGAGCAACUGUUCUAGUUUGCCUGGGACUGAGGAUCUUCUUGGGACCUGGGAUUUCCAGUGCUAGAACCAGGA